rnacentral:rRNA from 1 species
AUGAACGCUGGCGGCGUGCCUAAUACCUGCAAGUCGAGCGAACGGACGAGAAGCUUGCUUCUCUGAUGUUAGCGGCGGACGGGUGAGUAACACGUGGAUAACCUACCUAUAAGACUGGGAUAACUUCGGGAAACCGGAGCUAAUACCGGAUGAUAUUUUGAACCGCAUGGUUCAAAAGUGAAAGACGGUCUUGCUGUCACUUAUAGAUGGAUCCGCGCUGCAUUAGCUAGUUGGUAAGGUAACGGCUUACCAAGGCAACGAUGCAUAGCCGACUUGAGAGGGUGAUCGGCCACACUGGAACUGAGACACGGUCCAGACUCCUACGGGAGGCAGCAGUAGGGAAUCUUCCGCAAUGGGCGAAAGCCUGACGGAGCAACGCCGCGUGAGUGAUGAAGGUCUUCGGAUCGUAAAACUCUGUUAUUAGGGAAGAACAUAUGUGUAAGUAACUGUGCACAUCUUGACGGUACCUAAUCAGAAAGCCACGGCUAACUACGUG